rnacentral:rRNA from 1 species
AUUGAACGCUGGCGGCAGGCCUAACACAUGCAAGUCGAGCGGAGCGGCGGACGGGUGAGUAAUGCCUAGGAAUCUGCCUGGUAGUGGUGGAUAACGUCCGGAAACGGGAGCUAAUACCGCAUCCUCUCAGAUGAGCCUAGGUCUGAUUAGCUAGUUGGUGGUGUAAAGGCCUACCACGGCGACGAUCCGUAACUGGUCUGAGAGGAUGAUUAGUCACACGGGAACUGAGACACGGUCCAGACUCCCACGGGAGGCAGCAGUGGGGAAUAUUGGACAAUGGGCGAAAGCCUGCGCCAGCCAUGCCGCGUGUGUGAAGAAGGUCUUCGGGUUGUAAAGCACUUUAAGUUGGGAGGCGUUACCAACAGAAUAAGCACCGGCUAACUUCGUGCCAGCCGCCGCGGUAAUAC